CCUACGGGUGGCAGCAGUGAGGAAUAUUGGUCAAUGGGCGUAAGCCUGAACCAGCCAAGUCGCGUGAGGGAUGAAGGUUCUAUGGAUCGUAAACCUCUUUUAUAAGGGAAUAAAGUGUGGGACGUGUCCUAUUUUGUAUGUACCUUAUGAAUAAGGAUCGGCUAACUCCGUGCCAGCAGCCGCGGUAAUACGGAGGAUGCGAGCGUUAUUCGGAUUUAUUGGGUUUAAAGGGUGCGUAGGCGGACUGGAAAGUCAGCGGUAAAAUCGAGAGGCUCAACCUCUUUCCGCCGUUGAAACUGUCGGUCUUGAGUGGGCGAGAAGUAUGCGGAAUGCGUGGUGUAGCGGUGAAAUGCAUAGAUAUCACGCAGAACUCCGAUUGCGAAGGCAGCAUACCGGCGCUCAACUGACGCUCAUGCACGAAAGUGUGGGUAUCGAACAGGAUUAGAUACCCCUGUAGUC
rnacentral:rRNA from 1 species